rnacentral:rRNA from 1 species
UACGGAGGGUGCAAGCGUUAUCCGGAUUUACUGGGCUUAAAGGGUGCGUAGGCGGGUUGGUAAGUCAGCGGUGAAAUCUUCGAGCUUAACUCGGAAACUGCCAUUGAUACUAUCAAUCUUGAAUCAUCUAGAGGUAAGCGGAAUAUGUCAUGUAGCGGUGAAAUGCUUAGAUAUGACAUGGAACACCAAUUGCGAAGGCAGCUUACUAUGGAAGCAUUGACACUGGGGCACGAAAGCGUGGGGAUCAAACAGG